rnacentral:snRNA from 1 species
AAACUGCAGGUGGUUCUGUGUACUUCCUACACAUCACAUCGAGAACAUAGCACUUUUAUUUCCCCAAAUGUGGGAAACUCAACUGCAUAAUUUGUGGUAGUGGGGGACUGCGUCCAUUCUCCCG